UUAAGCGACUAAGCGUACACGGUGGAUGCCUAGGCAGUCAGAGGCGAUGAAGGGCGUGCUAAUCUGCGAUAAGCGUCGGUAAGCUGAUAUGAAGCGUUACAACCGACGAUACCCGAAUGGGGAAACCCAGUGCAAUUCGUUGCACUAUUGCAUGGUGAAUACAUAGCCAUGCAAGGCGAACCGGGGGAACUGAAACAUCUAAGUACCCCGAGGAAAAGAAAUCAACCGAGAUUCCCCUAGUAGCGGCGAGCGAACGGGGAAGAGCCCAGAGUCUGAAUCAGUUUGUGUGUUAGUGGAAGCGUCUGGAAAGUCGCAGGGUACAGGGUGAUACUCCCGUACACAAAAACACACUUGCUGUGAACUCGAUGAGUAGGGCGGGACACGUGACAUCCUGUCUGAAUAUGGGGGGACCAUCCUCCAAGGCUAAAUACUCCUGACUGACCGAUAGUGAACCAGUACCGUGAGGGAAAGGCGAAAAGAACCCCGGCGAGGGGAGUGAAAUAGAACCUGAAACCGUGUACGUACAAGCAGUGGGAGCCUUGAUUUAUCAGGGUGACUGCGUACCUUUUGUAUAAUGGGUCAGCGACUUAUAUUUUGUAGCAAGGUUAACCGAAUAGGGGAGCCGUAGGGAAACCGAGUCUUAACUGGGCGUCUAGUUGCAAGGUAUAGACCCGAAACCCGGUGAUCUAGCCAUGGGCAGGUUGAAGGUUGGGUAACACUAACUGGAGGACCGAACCGACUAAUGUUGAAAAAUUAGCGGAUGACUUGUGGCUGGGGGUGAAAGGCCAAUCAAACCGGGAGAUAGCUGGUUCUCCCCGAAAGCUAUUUAGGUAGCGCCUCGUGAACUCAUCUUCGGGGGUAGAGCACUGUUUCGGCUAGGGGGUCAUCCCGACUUACCAAACCGAUGCAAACUCCGAAUACCGAAGAAUGUUAUCACGGGAGACACACGGCGGGUGCUAACGUCCGUCGUGAAGAGGGAAACAACCCAGACCGCCAGCUAAGGUCCCAAAGUCAUGGUUAAGUGGGAAACGAUGUGGGAAGGCAUAGACAGCCAGGAUGUUGGCUUAGAAGCAGCCAUCAUUUAAAGAAAGCGUAAUAGCUCACUGGUCGAGUCGGCCUGCGCGGAAGAUGUAACGGGGCUAAACCAUGCACCGAAGCUGCGGCAGCGACGCUUAGGCGUUGUUGGGUAGGGGAGCGUUCUGUAAGCCGUUGAAGGUGACCUGUGAGGGUUGCUGGAGGUAUCAGAAGUGCGAAUGCUGACAUAAGUAACGAUAAUGCGGGUGAAAAACCCGCACGCCGGAAGACCAAGGGUUCCUGUCCAACGUUAAUCGGGGCAGGGUGAGUCGACCCCUAAGGCGAGGCUGAAAAGCGUAGUCGAUGGGAAACAGGUUAAUAUUCCUGUACUUGGUGUUACUGCGAAGGGGGGACGGAGAAGGCUAGGCUAGCCGGGCGACGGUUGUCCCGGUUUAAGCAUGUAGGCGGAGCGACUUGGUAAAUCCGGUUGCUUAGCAACGCUGAGGUGUGAUGACGAGCCACUACGGUGGUGAAGUAGUUGAUGCCAAGCUUCCAGGAAAAGCCUCUAAGCAUCAGGUAACAUUAAAUCGUACCCCAAACCGACACAGGUGGUCAGGUAGAGAAUACUCAGGCGCUUGAGAGAACUCGGGUGAAGGAACUAGGCAAAAUGGUGCCGUAACUUCGGGAGAAGGCACGCUGGCAUUAGGUAAAGGGACUUGCUCCCGGCGCCGAAGCCAGUCGCAGAUACCAGCUGGCUGCAACUGUUUAAUAAAAACACAGCACUGUGCAAACACGAAAGUGGACGUAUACGGUGUGACGCCUGCCCGGUGCUGGAAGGUUAAUUGAUGGGGUCAGCCGCAAGGCGAAGCUCUUGAUCGAAGCCCCAGUAAACGGCGGCCGUAACUAUAACGGUCCUAAGGUAGCGAAAUUCCUUGUCGGGUAAGUUCCGACCUGCACGAAUGGCGUAAUGAUGGCCAGGCUGUCUCCACCCGAGACUCAGUGAAAUUGAACUCGCUGUGAAGAUGCAGUGUACCCGCGGCAAGACGGAAAGACCCCGUGAACCUUUACUAUAGCUUGACACUGAACAUUGAGCCUUGAUGUGUAGGAUAGGUGGGAGGCAUCGAAGCGUGGACGCCAGUCUGCGUGGAGCCAACCUUGAAAUACCACCCUUUAAUGUUUGAUGUUCUAACUCGGCCCCGUAAUCCGGGGUGAGGACAGUGUCUGGUGGGUAGUUUGACUGGGGCGGUCUCCUCCCAAAGAGUAACGGAGGAGCACGAAGGUUAGCUAAUCACGGUCGGACAUCGUGAGGUUAGUGCAAAGGCAUAAGCUAGCUUGACUGCGAGAGUGACGGCUCGAGCAGGUACGAAAGUAGGUCUUAGUGAUCCGGUGGUUCUGAAUGGAAGGGCCAUCGCUCAACGGAUAAAAGGUACUCCGGGGAUAACAGGCUGAUACCGCCCAAGAGUUCAUAUCGACGGCGGUGUUUGGCACCUCGAUGUCGGCUCAUCACAUCCUGGGGCUGAAGUAGGUCCCAAGGGUAUGGCUGUUCGCCAUUUAAAGUGGUACGCGAGCUGGGUUUAGAACGUCGUGAGACAGUUCGGUCCCUAUCUGCCGUGGGCGUUGGAAGAUUGAGAGGGGCUGCUCCUAGUACGAGAGGACCGGAGUGGACGAAUCACUGGUGUUCGGGUUGUCAUGCCAAUGGCAUUGCCCGGUAGCUAAAUUCGGAAGAGAUAACCGCUGAAAGCAUCUAAGCGGGAAACUUGCCUCGAGAUGAGUCUUCCCUGGGGCUUUAAGCCCCCUGAAGGAACGUUAAAGACUAUGACGUUGAUAGGCUGGGUGUGUAAGUGCAGCGAUGCAUUGAGCUAACCAGUACUAAUGAUCCGUGAGGCUUAACCUU
rnacentral:rRNA from 1 species